rnacentral:tRNA from 1 species
UGAGGUGUCGCCAAGCGGUAAGGCUCCGGUUUUUGGUAUCGGUAUUCCCAGGUUCGAAUCCUGGCACCUCAG